rnacentral:lncRNA from 1 species
AGAGACAAAGGUAAACAGCGUAAGUUGACCAUCUUCUUACAGCAAAACACAAAUCAAUACACGGCUGCCAUUUCCAAAUCAAACCAACACCAGCAGUGGAUCAAAUUCAGCUGCUCGAAAACAUACGUCCUAUUUACCAAACCCUAAUGCACAAUUUCAAAGUUUAUGGAGAGAACCGCAUGGAUCUAAAUUAAAAAUUGAAGCUAUAAUUUGAUUAAAGGAUGAUAACCUUAUGGUUACAAGGAGAGAUGCAUGGUC